rnacentral:rRNA from 1 species
CCUACGGGUGGCAGCAGUGAGGAAUAUUGGUCAAUGGGCGCGAGUCUGAACCAGCCAUGUCGCGUGCAGGAAGACUGCCCUACGGGUUGUAAACUUCUUUUAUACAGGAAUAAAGUGAGGCACGUGUGCCUUUUUGUAUGUACUUUAUGAAUAAGGAUCGGCUAACUCCGUGCCAGCAGCCGCGGUAAUACGGAGGAUUCGAGCGUUAUCCGGAUUUAUUGGGUUUAAAGGGUGCGUAGAUGGGUUGUUAAGUCAGUUGUGAAAGUUUGCGGCUCAACCGUAAAAUUGCAAUUGAUACUGGCAGUCUAGAGUACAGUUGAGGUAGGCGGAAUGCGUGGUGUAGCGGUGAAAUGCUUAGAGAUCACGAAGAACUCCGAUUGCGAAGGCAGCUUACUAAGCUGCCACUGACAUUGAUGCUCAAAAGUGUGGGUAUCAAACAGGAUUAGAUACCCCUGUAGUC